rnacentral:lncRNA from 1 species
GGUAUCCUGACAGGUGUGAAGUGAUACCUCAUUUAGAUUUUGACUUGCAUUUCCCUGAUGAUUACUGUUAAGCAGUUUUUCACAUACAGGUACGCAGAGGCUAUUUCUCCCUGAUGACCUGACACAGACCCAGCCAACACCAUCUAUAAUGAAAAUCAAUGGCACCAAGUCACUAAACAAUUAUUCCGUCUUCUUUAAAAAUGCACAAGUCUUCAAAAAACAAGGAUUCAGAGACUGAUUAAUUUGCCAUUUGUCUAGAAGAUUGCACUAGCUGCAUUAUUUAAGAAGUGCCUUGUCUCUGUGCCCUCAAAAGCUGAACCAAGAUCAAAGA